CAGUAGCCACGGUAACACGUAGGGUGCAAGCGUUAAUCGGAAUUACUGGGCGUAAAGCGUGCGCAGGCGGUUAUAUAAGACAGAUGUGAAAUCCCCGGGCUCAACCUGGGAACUGCAUUUGUGACUGUAUAGCUAGAGUACGGCAGAGGGGGAUGGAAUUCCGCGUGUAGCAGUGAAAUGCGUAGAUAUGCGGAGGAACACCGAUGGCGAAGGCAAUCCCCUGGGCCUGUACUGACGCUCAUGCACGAAAGCGUGGGGAGCAAACAGGAUUAGAUACCCCAGUAGUCCCUGUCUCUUAUAC
rnacentral:rRNA from 1 species